UGGUGCGGGUCUCUGCUGCCGCGGGUGGGCUCUUGGCUCUGCCACUCCCCAUUUGUUGUGCAGUGAGACCAGUAGUUCCUCGAUGGAGACCUGCGUUCGGCACCGAGCCCUUGCCAUCGUGGAGGUGAACCGCUGAGGGCGGAAGGCUACCGCCCAGACCCUGGGGUCCUAGCAGAGGCCCUCCGGCUGGCGAGGGGUGCGUGACCUGCAUGACCGAUGCUACCCCAGAGGAAAGGCUCCACAGAGCGGGGCUUGGCAGGAGCCCGAGGUGGUGGUGCGUGGGCCUUCCUGCCUCCGCAGCUCAUAGCUGCUGCCCUGAGUUCCAAUGCCACGAGCUCCCACGGUCUCAGGGGUGCCCAGCCUUGUGCCGCGCUUGCAGCCCCAGACGGAGAAGGCGCUCUCUGCGCUGCUCUGUUUCCCACUGAACUGAACGCAGCCUCCGGCCCUAGACUUUGUUGCUGGGGUCCAGGGUACUGGAGAGAGGACUUUUUCUGCCAACCUUUGCCACAGCCUGGAGUCCCACUUCAGCGAGGAGCUCUGCCUACCACAGCCUUUCCAGCAAGCAGGGAGGUGCAGCAGGAGACCCAGGAUCACUUGAACUCUUUUUGGGAAAGGGCCCAGUUUGGGAGGGUGAGCAAGCUGCUCCUCGGUGCUAUUAGUAAGCAUCAUAGUGGGCAGGCAGGAAGGGGGUCCCCAACUCCAGGACGCCCUGAGAAGCCCAUGAGGAACAAAACCAGCUGGAGCCUACCGUGCACUCCCAGAGUUUACUGUCUUGGACUAGAGGGUCACUUUGCUUGGCUUGGACUUGUGCCCCAUGCCAACUCGCAAGGCCUGGCCUCUGAAGAGGUCUGCACUGUGGUGUGUGUGUGCCCAGAGGUGCAGGGUCCUAGCCAGCCCAGCCACCUGUCCAGGCUCUCGGGGCCCCCGGGAUGCACUGACCUGACCAGAUUCUCACUGCUUCCCCCCCGCCCCCGUUCCUAUCUGUGCCCCUGAAACUUGGCCAUGGGCUUUCAGGCACUCAGACUGUGGGCUCAAUUGGAUUCCAGGUCAGGUUUUGUUCACCCUCCAGUUCCUGCUCAGAAAAACUCUGAGUAGCUAAAAGAAUAAAAGCACAUCUCCCUUAGUUUACA